AUCGAAAGCUUGCUUUUGAUGGGCGUCGACCGGCGCACGGGUGAGUAACGCGUAUCCAACCUGCCCACCACUUGGGGAUAACCUUGCGAAAGUAAGACUAAUACCCAAUGAUAUCUCAAGAAGACAUCUGAAUGAGAUUAAAGAUUUAUCGGUGAUGGAUGGGCAUGCGUUGUAUUAGCUGGUUGGUGAGGUAACGGCUCACCAAGGCUACGAUCAGUAGGGGUUCUGAGAGGAAGGUCCCCACAUUGGAACUGAGACACGGUCCAAACUCC
rnacentral:rRNA from 1 species